UUUUGUACGUCCUUGGGAGUCCGAAAUGUAAAAUCGGGGUAUGGUUAGUAGCGGCAGCGUUCAUUAUGGUAUAUAAAAGAUAAAAAGUAGGGGCAAGCGAGACAGAAUGGGAUACAAGGGCAUCGUCUAUAAUUAUAGCUAAAAAUUGUAUUUUAAUUUGUAUUUUUUGUAAUUUUAUUUCUCAUUGUUUUACUUAAAAUGAAUGCGAAUUAGAGAAAACUUCAACGAAAUGUCAAAAUAAGCUCAGCAAAAUAUACAAUUUUAGGGAAAGCGAUCAGCAACUUAUUCUCCGUUGUAGAUUCUUUUUCUUCAUAAAUUCCAACAAUGUAACUGCCAAUUGAUU